GAAGUGUGUUUAAAAGUGUGUAGAAAGACUUGUUGAAUUUUGGUCCGAAAUGGGCUAAGAACCCGCAAACAUUGCUUUGAAGCAUUAAAUAGCUUGUCUAGUGUUUUUUGGGGUUAGAAUAUGUUAGAAUAUAAUAAAUUUGAUUGAUUAAAAGUGCUAGAGAUGCAUGAAGAGUGUUUAGAAGUGUGGAGAAACACUUGUUGAAAUUUGGUCCCAAAAUGGGCUAAGAACUCAGAAACAUUGCAUUAAACC
rnacentral:lncRNA from 1 species